GCAGAUUAUAAAUUAUCAGAUGUUCCAAUCGAAGGGCGAAUUCCGCUGAACGGGUAGUCGCAGCGUUUGAAAUGUGUUGAUGAGCUUUAUGGCCAGAGGAAGUCGUGCAUCAUUCCCACCUGCCAGUGCCCCGCGAUGAUGCAGUAGGCGUAACCGUCAUUCAAACUAUUCAAGUGCUCCACCAGCGUCCUCUUGUCGACCACCAGGAGGCGUGGCUUUCAUUUCCACUUCCGUUUCCGCCAACAUGAACCUUAAUGGUGUGGCUAGGAAAUCGGCUGCGGUUUCGAUCUCUGACCCGGACAUCUAAGACUUAUUAAAUGCUAAAAUCAAAUUGUCAAGCAAGAAAAUCCAUUGAAAAAAAGAAGUGAACCAAUUGAAAACAAUUAUAACGAACUUACUUGAUUUAUAAAUACGCAACAGCAUGAGAAUUGGAUUCGUAUGAAUAGAACAGGUGCCAGUUUAUUCUAUCAUGACACUAAAAAACAGGUGUUGGUUGGGCAC
ensembl:ncRNA lncRNA:CR44212 long non-coding RNA:CR44212